CCUACGGGUGGCAGCAGUAGGGAAUAUUGCUCAAUGGGGGAAACCCUGAACCAGCAAAGCCGCGUGGAGGAUGAAGGCCUUCGGAUUGUAAACUCCUUUUUUUAGAGAAGCUAAUUACGGCAUCUAAGGAAUAAGCAACAGCUAACCCCGUCCCAGCAUCCGCUUUAAUACGGAGGGUGCAAGCGUUAUUCGGAAUCACUCGGCGUAAAGACCGCGUUGUCGGGUUAGCAAGUCACAUGUGAAAUCCUAUGACUUAAACAUAGGACUGCAUUUGAAACUGUUAGUCUAGAGUUGGGGAGAGGUAGGUGGAAUUCGUGGUGUAGCGGUAAAAUCCGUAGAUAUCAAGAAGAAUACUCAUUGCGAAGGCGGCCUACUAGAACAUAACUGACGCUGAUGCGCGAAAGCGUGGGGAGCAAACAGGAUUAGAUACCCGAGUAGUC
rnacentral:rRNA from 1 species